rnacentral:rRNA from 1 species
UACGUAGGGCGCAAGCGUUGUCCGGAAUUAUUGGGCGUAAAGAGCUCGUAGGCGGUUUGUCGCGUCUGCUGUGAAAACCUAAGGCUCAACCCCGGGCCUGCAGCCGAUACGGGCAAGCUAGAAUUCGGUAGGGGAGACUGGAAUUCCUGGUGUAGCGGUGAAAUGCGCAGAUAUCAGGAGGAACACCAAUUGCGAAGGCAGCUCGCUGGGACGUUACUGACGCUGAGACGCGAAAGCCGUGGGGAGCAAACAGG